CUUAGCAGUUCUGCUGAGGGUCUUUGUUCAUCAAUUGUGGGCCUUUUGCUAUUUAUUAUGAUGAACAAUAGGAAAUCCUAAUAAUAACUCCUAUGUGUGCCAUUUGCUUUAACUGAGCAGAGUUCUCUAAAUUGUUUCUUACCUCUGAAUCGUAUGUUUGGGUGGAAAAUCCCUCUCCCCUUUCUUCCACACUUUCUUUCCUUCUAAACUAUGUCUCAUAAAGUCAGACCACAGAACCCUUUCAAAUACAGUUAGGGCAGACAGAGACCACUACAGAGAGCCCCAGUGUUUCCUUCCUCGCUUGAAAAGGCAAGACCUUCUCAAAAAGUAGAGGUAGGCCUUGGUAAGGGCCUCCUUUGGAGGAAAGAAAAGGCAAAAGUAAGGCAUGAGAAAGUCCUCACCAUCUUUUCUGCGUUGGGAACUUUUUUGUAGAAGGUUUUUUCUGUGUCUUCAAUCCACACCACGGAGGGCUGGAGCUGUCGAGCCACCUGCAGAGGAAAAGGCAGGGCCCUGGUUGUAAAUGCACUUCCCUCUCAGGUGUGCAGAGCCCUGGUUGUAAAUGCGCUUCCUUCUGGGGUGUGCAGAGCCCUGGUUGUAACUGUGCUUCCCUCUGGGGUGUGCAGAGCCCUGGCUGUGAACGUGCUUCCCUCUGGGGUGUGCAGAGCCCUGGUUGUAAAUGCGCUUCCCUCUCAGGUGUGCAGAGCCCUGGUUAUAAACGUGCUUCCCUCUGGGGUGUGCAGAGCCCUGGUUGUAAACGUGCUUCUCUCUGGGGUGUGCAGAGCCCUGGUUGUAAAUGUGCUUCCCUCUGGGGUGUGCAGAGCCCUGGUUGUAAAUGCGCUUCCCUCUGGGGUGUGCAGAGCCCUGGUUGUAAAUGUGCUUCCCUCUGGGGUGUGCAGAGCCCUGGCUGUGAACGUGCUUCCCUCUGGGGUGUGCAGAGCCCUGGUUGUAAACGUGCUUCCCUCUGGGGUGUGCAGAGCCCUGGUUGUAAAUGCGCUUCCCUCUGGGGUGUGCAGAGCCCUGGCUGUAAACGCGCUUCCCUCUCAGGUGUGCACCUGCUCUCCCCGUGCGGCUCAUCAGCUCUGCUGCACAGGCACAGAAAUGUGUUCUGCAGCUACAACCUGCCCCACCACGUCCCUUCCUUCACAGCAGGACAAGUCCCCACCCCCCCCAACCGCUCCUCUGUCAGUCCUGUUCUGACAGGCAGGACAAGCUUGAGGACAAACAUUCUGCUCUAGGACCUCAACAUCCUCUCAGUUUGGCUUGAAAGAAACCCACAGUUUUCUGCUGAAAAUGAAUGGAGAACUGGGCCACGAGUUUUAAUUACCGCCUCUGGCCGUUCCCGGGUUUAUUCAAGUUUGCUUACCAUGAGAAAAACCGUUUCAGCACUCGGGCCCCCACGAGGCUAUUUGUUCAUCUCUGUUUGGCUGUGCCUUUGUGGCCUAGGCUCCCCCUGAAAGGUGGCUCCGAGCCCCUCUGGACAAGCAGGGCCUCGCGACAGAGCUGGGAUGGGACUUACCCUGGGCCCAUGAAUAAUUGCUGUACACCUAACAAUCUCUUCAAAGCACCCCUGUGAUAGCGAAGUUCAGGUAUUUUUGCAACAAUUUGUGCUUUGUGCGAAAUUGUGACAGAUAAAAGCCAUGGUGAAUACAGCGUUAUGUACUCCUAUUUUUAUAUUUCUUAAAACAUCAUUAAGGCAGCAGGCAUGAUUUUAAACCAAGACAGUCAUUCAGUGAGUGAUGGAAAAAUCGCUAGGGACACUCUACUGUGUCUGCCUCCCUGUCAUUAUGUACGAAGUGGCAAGUCAGGGCUAUAAAGCAGAUUAUGCGCCUUCAAAGGCAGAAGUGGGCACUGAUUGAACUGGAUCCUUGCGCUGGCCCAACGCCUGGGCCGGCUGCAUUCCCAGGCCCCAACACACACGGACAUUCAGAGAGAAAAGAGUGCCAGCCAAGCACCAUUUGAUAGGUAUUUUGCAGACCCAGAGUCACAGAAUUUAGGAACUCAGAAUCCCAAAUUUUAAUCGUGAUCCCUGAGCCAGUGUGGUGUGAUAACUGCAGUGAAUGAGUUGGCAGACAUGUGCCAGGCAUCAGCCACCUAUGUUGUGCCCAGCAUCACACAUGGUCAGAGCCAGCACACACCUGGCGCUGCCUCCUCCUGGAGGCCUUAGCACAUGUGGAAUAAACUGCUCAUCUCAUCUGAACCCUAUGAAGCAGAUAACAAUGAACCAUUGUUAUCAUCCCUGUUUGCAGACAAGGAAACUGAGGCUUGCAGACAUUAAUUGAUGGCCCUGGUCAUACAGGUCCAGUGUGGCAGAAGCAGGACUGGAGGCCAGGCUGGGGGCUACAAUCUGUGCUGGCAGCUGAGGCAGCCUAUGCGGGUUCCCUCAUCUACUCUCACCACGAGCGUGAGGGGCCAGCCCUAGGACCUCUGCUUCGGAGCUGAGAACUGAGACGAGUAGGUGGUUAUGUUACAGUGGGGAGCUAGUCGGGCAUGAGCAGGGCAGGAGAAGGCUCCUUCCAAUACAUACACACACCAAGAAUGUCAGGUGACCAUCCCAUGAUGGGCAGGUGGUUGUUUUCUGUAUUUCUAUAAUAAUCAUUGGUCACAGCCAGCACUAGCGAAAGGCAGUCUCCCAAUAAACAGAAACACCGGAAGUGGGUGAUCAGCAGCUUCCCAAUAAGAUCUCAGGGGUUGGGCGAGUGGGUUCAACCAUGUGCAUUAAGAGGCAAAACGGUGGAAUUUAACUGGCCUAUGACCUUCUAGGGACAUUCGACUGGUAAGGGAGGAGCAUCUCAAGUGAGCAUGCGCACAACUCCAGUGAACACACUGUGCAUGCAUGCUCCCUCCCAAGUGCUGGCAGGCCACUGUGCAUGCGGACAGCCCACCCCAAGGGAAGAAUCAGGAGAGAAGGGACGCAAGACCCCAGAAGCAUGCUAACAUAGAAAACCCAGGCUGGAGUGCAGUGGCACGAUCUUGGCUGACUGCAACCUAGAGCACGAGACCUCUCACCCUUCGUUCUGCUGAAUGUGGGGGUGAUCUGCAUUUGUGAGCACUUUAUUUUGGCCUUGCCACUAGGAUUUUAUUUUUUGGCAUGAUCAGGGAACAUUUUUACACUGCUGGUGGGAAUGUAAACUCAUAGAGCUGCUAUGGAAAACGGUGUGGAGAUUCCUUAAAGUACUAAAAGUAGAACUACCAUUUGAUCCAGCAAUCCCACUACUGUACCUACCCAGAGGAAAAGAUACAAAAAUGAUUCUUGCACAUGCAUGUUUAUACUUUGCACAUGCAGCACAAUGCACAAUUGCAAAAUUGUGGCACCAACCCAAAUGCCCAUCAACGAGUGGAUAAAAAAACUGUGCUAUAUAUAUAUAUAUAUAUGAUGGAAUACUACUCAGCCAUAAAAAGAAAUGAAUUAACAGCAUUUGCAAUGACCUGGAUGAGAUUGGAGACUAUUAUUCUAAGUGAGGUAACUCAGGAAUGGAAAACCAAACAUCGUACGUUCUCACUAGGACGCGAAGGCAUAAGAAUGAUACAAUGGACUUUGGGAACCUGUGGGGAAGAGUGGGAGGGGGGUGAGGGAUGAAAGACUACAAAAAGGGUGCAGUGUAUACUGUUCAGGUGAUGGAUGCACCAAAAUCUCACAAAUCACCACUAAAGAACUUACUCAUGUAACCAAAUACCACCUGUACCCCCAAUAACUUACGGCAAAAAAAAAAAAAUCAAAAUCUCAAAUCUCAAAUCAAUGAGUAGGUUAUUAACUAUAGCACCUGCCAGUGGACUCGAGGAGCUAGUCUAUUUCAAAGCCUAGCCAAGAAGACUAGCUGAUGAGGAGAAACACCAAGCCGGGCGCUUUGCCCCCGAGCUUUCAUCAAUGAAACAGACAAAAUGCUACAGGAUAAAGGAACUCUCUCGUCUUCUCUCUUCAUCUUUGAUUUUUAAAAGAACGUUUAAUAAAAUCAGCUCUCUAGUAGAUCACAGCAAAGUAUUAAGUGAUUCUCCAGCUUAAACAUUCUGUGCUUCUACAAAGAAAGCUUUUGCAUAAAAUGUAGAUUCGAAGGGGUCUCUGAGCUGGCAAUCCGGAGUUCUAGUCAGUGUGCAGGAGAAAGUUGCCACAGGAGGGAAAUCCAGGAGAAAAUGUAGGGUGGGCUCAAGGGCCUUUGGAAAUGGAGCUCGACGCUGUACACUGAGCUGAUCUAUACUGAUCCCGGCUGGGCACCAUACCCUCUGCUAGAGCAGCAAGGGCAGGAAGAGGAAUGGGAUGGGUCCGGUCCGAACAGGGUCACUCCAACCGGGAAAUGCACCCAGUCAGGGGCGACAGCACCACGUGGUGUUGACAAAAACACAUGCUUGGAAGUUGGAGAAAAGAGACCCCUGUGUGCAGAGUCUCACAGUAGCAGGUAAGUGAGGAGGGGGCGGAGCACAAGCCAGAGAGGGAAGCCUCUUUCUUCCCCUGACAAUUCAGUGCUUCUCACUGGGAUCACUAGGGGAGCUUUGGAAAGUACGACCUCCGGGUCUCAGCCCUGGAGAUUCUGGUGUGACUGGGGUGUUGUCUGGCGUUAGCAGUUUUGAAAGCUCCCCAGAUGAUGCUGAAGAGCAGACAUGGUCAGGAAGCCCCGCUCGGAAGCACAGAUGUCUACUAUGCACUGGCUUAUGCACAGGUUCCCAAAGACCCUGCCCUGGUUUCUCUGCACUCUCUCAAUACCACCUUGAGGGCUGAUCUCAACCACUCUGGUAGCUUCAGCUGGCCUCUACGUGCUGACCACAACCAAAUGCACAUCCAGAGCUCCAGGCCAGAGUUUCCCAUCCCCACAUGGUGCCUGCCUACUGAAGCCUCAGAAGGCCACCUUCCCUCCCUCCAUCCUGCCUCCUGCCCGUUCCCUGCGUGACUCUGCUCCUACCCAAGCCAGAGGCCUGGGUAUCCACCCUUGUCUCAUUCCCGACACCUAACAACCCCACAGUCUAUUCAUGGCACUUCCUAAUCCCUUUCAACUCCAAGUCUUCCAUUCUCUCAGCUCCUUGGUGCAAGCCCCCGAUUUCCUUCCAACAUGGCCUGGGCACUGCUGCCAAGGGAUGGAGCUGAAGAGUGAGGAGGGGGCAAGCUCCAAGGGGCCAUUGUUCCCUUACAGCUAUUUUGAGUUUAAGUCAAAAGCUUCCCUACUUCCAGCUCCAAAAGUAAAUAAGAAAAUGAGACGUUGUAUGUAAAAGGUUUAUACUUCGUAAAGAUAAUUUGUAAUAACAAAGGCAAGAUCUUAUUUUUUUUCAGUACCUCUUAAGAAUCUCAGUUUUAGAACUGAAUCCAAUGGAGAAACCAUCUUCGCAUCAACAACUAUCUCUUCAGAUUGGAUAAAGAAAAUGUGGUACAUAUACACCAUGGAACACUAUGCCGCCAUAAAAAAGAAUGAGACUAUGUCUUUAGCAAGAACAUGGAUGGAGCUGGAGGCCAUUAUCCUUUCCUUAGCAAGUUAAUGCAGGAAGAGAAAAUCAAAUACCACUUAUUCUCACUUAUAAGUGGCAGCUAAACAGUGAGAAUGCAUGGACACGAAGAAGGGAACAGCAGGCACUGGGGCCUCCUUGAGGGUGAAGGUUUGGAGGAGGAAAAUGAGUGGAAAAAAUCAUUACUGGGUACCGGGCUUAAUGCCUGGGCGAUGAAAUAAUCUAUACAACAAACCCCUGUGACACGAGUUUACCUAUGUAACAAACCUGCACACACACCCCUGAACCUAAAAUAAAAGUUAAAAACAAAAACAAAAGCAACCGUCUCUUGUCUUAGCUGACUGCACUCGUGGCUGCUGUGGAUCACUUCUCGCGAUGUCCACGUGGCAAGCAAUGGGUUUUCCAUAGUGCCUAUUGGGGCCUCUAUUUUCUCAACCCAGAUGGGAAUUGCAGAUGUGAAUACCAAGUAUUUCAGCGUUAACUUUUCUCUUUUUGCUCUUAACAAACUAAGCUGCGCAGCCUUGAAACAGGAGUCGCCCUAACUUGGAAUGAUUUUGAGACCCACAAUCUUGUUUCCAGCAUCAGAUUCUAAAUCAGUUGUUUUGAAAACGGCGGCUCCAUUCUGUUGACUGUGAAGUUAGCGAUUGUUCCUUUAACGUGUAGCUCCUUCAGAACUAAUGGGGGAAUUCCAUGCUUCCUGAAUUUUUAACACACACCUGUGAAGGAAUUGCUCUCCCUAGUUCAGCAGCUUUGGGGGCACACAGGGUUGUACAGGGCACUCUGGAGUGAUGUGGUUUGGAAGGGCUCAAUUAUUACCAAACAAGACAGAGAACGCUUCCCAAGAGUGUUCUCAGAUGAGGAUAACGAUACAACUGACUUCAUUUGCAAAGUGCUCUGGCGUCCAGGACACCAUUUGCAUCCUCACCGGACACAUGCUCCAUGUGUGCCAAGCACAGCCAGCGGCUCUCCCCUUUCACAGAUGAGGCUGCUGAGGCAGAGCCAGGUGAGGGAUGAGUCAUGUGCUGGCUCAGCAACUGCAGGAAGAAUGCUAAAACCAUCACUGUCUUGCCCUCCAGAGCUCGGAUCUCUGGCUUUCCUGACCUUCCCCUGGGGAAGCUGAGGGGCCUGCUGGUCACAGGACCCCUGGUGACCAUGUUCAGGUCUGGCCAGAAAGAAGAUGGGCAUGGAAACUGGGGCAGUGUCAAGCGGAAGCUACUUCGUCCAGGAGGGAUGAAAGGGACAGAGGCUGCUUCUCUUGGAGAAAAGAAGACUUGAGGCUGCCCACUGCCCACCACACUAUGGCCAAUGAAUUCUCGCCAGGUGGAAUGGACUCUAGCCAGCUUGGAGAAGCCUGUGUGCAAAGCCAUUCUCAACUUCCCAAGGUACCUCCAUCGCCCCCACCCCGAGUGUUUCUGGGUUGCCUAAACAUUUUGAAUGCUCGUGGCAUCAAACCCUGGUCCCGCCUUGUCCCCACUGCCUGAUACACAACACCUGCGGAUGCCACUCUGUGUUUUUGGUGAUUGACAGCCUGCAGAGUGUGUUUCCACACCUGACUGACACACAGUGCCCGGGGCCUCCACAGCCUGAUGCCCUCCCUGUGUGGGGUGCUCCCUGUCGUCACUGGACAGGUGGAGUGGGACAUGUAUCCCGGGUCCUGGAGAAGCCUGGCUCUCUUGUUGCCUUCCUCCUGGGAGUCCCCUUCCCACGGCAGCCUCUGACACAGCUGGACCCGGCUACAUGGCCCACCCUGGUCUAGGGGCCUUUCUUUUGUGUUCUUUUUUCUCCUUCUUUCUUUGCAGGUGCAUGUGUCUGAAUUCCGAGAAGUUUCCUAUGUGUCGGGGUCUAGGCUCCCUCCCCACCCUGGGCCCCUCCCGGGUGUCUGGUUUGACGUGGCCUCCCAGGACUGACACCGAUGUUCCAGGCAGGGGAAACAAUGGCAGAGGCCUCGUUGGCCGUACAGACGCCGGCAUCCCCACCCACAGUGGGUUUUGAUGGACUCUGGGCGCUAGUGAGGUGUCUGUCUGUGUUCCUCACUGUAGCACAUGGUCAGUGUGGCCCACUGUGGGGCGGGGAGAGUGGGGAGGCCCUGCCUAUGUGGGAGCAGGCUAUGUGGGCGCUCUCUGCACUUUCUCCUCCCUUUUGCCAGGAACCGAAAACUGCUCUGAAAAAUAGUCUAUGUAAAAAAGAAAAGGUUCUGCAGCCUAUGUGCAUGUCGCUCCUCAGCCUGCAGCUGCGUCCGCACGCAGUGGAAGGUGAGCCUGGCCUCUUCAUGGACGACCCACUCAAGACUCAGGGCACUGGCCUCCCACCGUGUCCAUACCCGAGGCUGCACUGGAGCCGCUAAAUCCUGUGUCCCUCUCCCCAUGUCCUUACUCCUCUCUUUCCUCUCCCCCUCCUUUUUGAUUAGCCCUGUUUUAGGGGCCAGAUGUAGGCCUUGGGUUAUCCUUACUGAUAUUCACCUUGUAAAAUGAGACUAACAUAUGUAUUACACUAAUUGUACAUCUCUCUCUCUCUCUCUCUCUCUCUCUCUGUGUGUGUGUGUGUGUUUUAAAUCAACCACAAAUAGCAGCAAUGUCUUUGUCUGGGUUAUUAAUCAGGAAGAGAAGUCUUCUUCUAUGAGCUACAGAAACAUACCUUUUAUGAACUACAGAAAUUGGCCAGGCACCUCUGCUGACACCUGGACUAGCUGUCUACACCACCACACACCACAUCUGGGCAAGAGCCCUUGGUGUGCUGCCAUAAGGCUGCUGGCUGUGAGCCCACAGAGGAGCCGGGUGGAUGGUACUGGGGCACAAGAGCAUCGAGGGUCCCUUUUGUCCAGAUGCUGCAGACCACUGUGGGCCACGUGUCCUACAGCUGACACUGCCUCGGCCCCGUUCUCCCAGGUCCUCACUCUAACUCAGCCCUCAGGGG